CCUACGGGUGGCUGCAGUGGGGGAUAUUGCACAAUGGGCGAAAGCCUGAUGCAGCGACGCCGCGUGAGGGAAGACGGUCUUCGGAUUGUUAACCUCUGUCUUUGGGGAAGUAAAUGACGGUACCCAAAGCGGAAGCUCCGGCUAACUACGUGCCAGCAGCCGCGGUAAUACGUAGGGAGCAAGCGUUGUCCGGAAUUACUGGGUGUAAGGGGAGCGUAGGCGGGUUGGCAAGUAGAAUGGUAAAUUCAUCGGUUCAACCGGUGGCUGCGUUCUACACUGCCGUUCUUGAGUGAAGUAGAGGCAGGCGGAAUUCCUAGUGUAGCGGUGAAAUGCGUAGAUAUGAGGAGGAACACCAGUGGCGAAGGCAGCCUGCUGGGCUUUAACUGACGCUGAGGCUCGAAAGCGUGGGGAGCAAACAGGAUUAGAUACCCGGGUAGUC
rnacentral:rRNA from 1 species